GGUAUGGGGGACUUUUGGGAUAGCAUUGGAAAUGUAAUUGAGGAAAAUAUGUAAUAAAAAAAUUAAAAAAAAAUAAAACAGAAACUACGUGACCAUAGCCAUGCAAACCAAUUGCUUUAAGAUUUGCAGAAAAGCAAAAUAAGGAAGAAGGAAAAAGAAUUGUCUGUGCACUAAGAGCAACCGCAGUGUUUAUGACACUAACAUCUUAAGUAAGCUGAGUUGGCGUCUGCAAGAGAGAUGCUUGCCACACUUGCAAGAAAGCAGCAAACGCGUUUGCAAGUUUUUCUAAUACAUGGUGUUACAAGACAAAUAUCACCGAAGGCUGUAGGGUUUCUCACUCAUCUCUCUAAGGAUAACAAUUGUCUAAAUUAUCUAUCCUGCUAUCUAUCCUGCUCUCACUUUACAACAGAAAUGGGGUUGGUUAAGUAGUGCUUCAGUAGUUAUGUCAUCUUCAGCUAAACUCACAGAUCUUUAUAGAAGUAGGCAGAAUGAUUGAACUGUUCAGAUUUAUAAUAUGCUCUUGAAAUGUGUCUUUGGAAAUGGGUAUUUAAAACAGCCUUAAUGACAACUUGAAAGGUUUUAUCUAUGAGAACAGGGUAAGAUGUUUAUUAUAGGAGGCAUGAUAAGAUUUUCCAAUCGCAGCGGCUGAUGAGAUGGCUUUGCUUGGAUAUAGUCGCAGCCAGUCUUGGAGGAAGGGGUGGCCUUUGAAGAGAUGGGAUGGAGGCUCUUAUCUCUUAUCAGGGCAACAUAACCAAGAGGUACCCAAAUCUUCAUUUUCUAAAGAUCAAUGGUUUCUUCUUUCAUCCAAGAGAAAGGAUUGGAGACACGGAAACCCUUUUAAAUGCCUGAUUAAAGGGACAGUGCCAAGUAAAUUGGGUUCGAGGAGAGUUCAGUGUCAACAUAUAUGCAUCCAUGGCUGUUUAUAUAGCUUCUGACCAGCAGAGGGUCAGAGCCCAGCUCAUGUACUCAAAGCUUGAGGAGCUCUGGGCCUGCAGGGUUCUAGAUGCCAGCACAAUGUCCCACCUGAGGAAGCUGUAAACCAAGGCUGGAGGAAAAGGUGGAAAUUGGCUUCCGAUGUCUGAUGGAGUAAGACCUGUCACAUGUGGCUUCAGUGGACUCCCAAUAACAACAUAAAGAAGAAAGGAAUUGAAAGAUGCAAAAUGACAGCUUCUUUUUUUUUUUUUAAGUAAGGCAGCUCAAAUGCACCUUUUCCCCACUAGUAUGAGAGAAAAUAUAUUCUGUGCAGAGAAAGGGGUCAGUAAUUCUAUGUGUAUAAUUAUGUGAAACCUUAGAAUAUUGUCUGAAAGAGAGGAUGAUAUGGAUGGUCAGAUUUAGAUUAGUUUUCACAGUUUGUGUUCCUUCUUGUUUAAAUACCUUCCCCAGAAAAAUCAAAUUACAUCAGAGUCUCAUAAUGCAGAAUGAGAAACUUCUUGCUGUGUUAAUCCAUUUGGUAAUCGAUAUUAUUUAUUGAGCUGACACCCGAUGACCAAGGAGAAUACACAAAUAAAGGUACAAGGCAAAGGAGAAAAAUUACUUUCGGCUUCCAUAUUCUUAAUUGUUUUUCUUAAUUUAAUAAUAUCUCUGGUCAUUAACUUAUUUGUAGUCAUUCAGACAGAAAUCAAACAAGAAGCCCUCACCUAAGAGGGUAAAGAAAGUUUACAUGGAGGCCUGCAUCCACUUCUCUCAAAUUUUGUGGUCAUCAGGACAUGAAUGGCAGGUGUCUGUCUCUUACAGUUGGAGUAUUAUAAUGCAGUCUCAGAACUAGUGUUCUCCUAAGAGCUAGUGUUUCUCUGGAAGAUGGUUUCACUUGAGCAUAGCACAAUAAUAGGAUCAAAGUUAGUAAAGAAAUCCCCAAAUAUUACCAGACAUUUCUUCAGAGUUACCGCUUAUGUUUACUUUCUGAAUAGAAAUAGUCGAGAUGUUCAUACACAGUGGCUGUUUAUGAAUGCUGAGAAGGUGGUUUCUUUAAGAACACAUCUGUUUGGAGAGGAUUGCUCUUUUAUAAGGGUGCUAUCUUCUGGCCCCUGAGGAUAUUGCAUGAACAUACAGCCUGCCUACAUAUAAAUAAUUAAAGGUAAGAAUAAGUCUUUAAAAUAUAAAAAAGAAGAGCAUCAGAAGUCAUAUAAUGGUCCUUUAGUAUCACCAGUUAGGAUUCUUAUGCCUAGAAAUUCCACAGAACAAUUUAAUUUUGAUUGUGCAACUAUGGAGC
rnacentral:lncRNA from 1 species